rnacentral:rRNA from 1 species
GACGAACGCUGGCGGCGUGCUUAACACAUGCAAGUCGAACGGAAAGGCCCGCUUCGGUGGGUGCUCGAGUGGCGAACGGGUGAGUAACACGUGGGUGAUCUGCCCUGCACUUCGGGAUAAGCUUGGGAAACUGGGUCUAAUACCGGAUAGGACCAUGGGAUGCAUGUCUUGUGGUGGAAAGCUUUUUGCGGUGUGGGAUGGGCCCGCGGCCUAUCAGCUUGUUGGUGGGGUGAUGGCCUACCAAGGCGACGACGGGUAGCCGGCCUGAGAGGGUGUCCGGCCACACUGGGACUGAGAUACGGCCCAGACUCCUACGGGAGGCAGCAGUGGGGAAUAUUGCACAAUGGGCGCAAGCCUGAUGCAGCGACGCCGCGUGGGGGAUGACGGCCUUCGGGUUGUAAACCUCUUUCACCAUCGACGAAGCUGCCGGUUUUCCGGUGGUGACGGUAGGUGGAGAAGAAGCACCGGCCAACUACGUGCCAGCAGCCGCGGUAAUAC